rnacentral:rRNA from 1 species
UGGGGAAUAUUGGACAAUGGGCGAAAGCCUGACCCAGCCAUGCCGCGUGUGUGAAGAAGGUCUUCGGAUUGUAAAGCACUUUAAGUUGGGAGGAAGGGUUGUAGAUUAAUACUCUGCAAUUUUGACGUUACCGACAGAAUAAGCACCGGCUAACUCUGUGCCAGCAGCCGCGGUAAUACAGAGGGUGCAAGCGUUAAUCGGAAUUACUGGGCGUAAAGCGCGCGUAGGUGGUUAGUUAAGUUGGAUGUGAAAUCCCCGGGCUCAACCUGGGAACUGCAUUCAAAACUGACUGACUAGAGUAUGGUAGAGGGUGGUGGAAUUUCCUGUGUAGCGGUGAAAUGCGUAGAUAUAGGAAGGAACACCAGUGGCGAAGGCGACCACCUGGACUGAUACUGACACUGAGGUGCGAAAGCGUGGGGAGCAAACA